rnacentral:rRNA from 1 species
GACGAACGCUGGCGGCGUGCUUAACACAUGCAAGUCGAACGGAAAGGCCUGCUUUCCCUUGUGGAUUGCGGGUACUCGAGUGGCGAACGGGUGAGUAACACGUGAGUGAUCUGCCCCCAACUUGGGUAUAAGCCUGGGAAACUGGGUCUAAUUCCCGAUAGGACUGCAGGGUGGUGCCUGUGGUGGAAAACGAUUUUCUAGUGGUUGGGGAUGAGCUCGCGGCCUAUCAGCUUGUUGGUGGGGUAAUGGCCUACCAAGGCGGCGACGGGUAGCCGGCCUGAGAGGGUGGACGGCGACAUUGGGACUGAGAUACGGCCCAGACCCCUACGGGAGGCAGCAGUGGGGAAUAUUGCACAAUGGGCGGAAGCCUGAUGCAGCGACGCCGCGUGGGGGAUGACGGCCUUCGGGUGGUAAACUCCUUUCGACCGCGAGGAAGCCACCUGGUUGGAAGGGUGGUGACGGUAGUGGUAGAAGAAGCACCGGCUAACUACGUG